rnacentral:pre_miRNA from 1 species
AAUAAAUCAUGUUUUCCGUGUCCAACGUUUAACCGUCCGUCUUAUUUAAAAAAAUUAUGAAAAAAAUUAAAAAGAUAAGUCAUGCAUAAAGUAUUAAUCAUGUUUUAUCAUCUAACAACAAUGAAAAUACUAAUUAUAAAAAAAUUUUAUAUAAGACGGUAUUAAUCAUGUUUUAUCAUCUAACAAUAUAAGACGGACAGUCAAACGUUGACACGGAAAUCCAGAGUUUGCCUUUUU